rnacentral:tRNA from 1 species
AGCCUUGUGGUGGAGUACACGUCAGAUUGCAAAUCUGAAGACGCAGACUAAACCCUGCCGGGGCUU